GGGUCGGUGGCAUAGCUGGGCAUUGAGCAACUGUUGUGCACAGAAGGUCCUCAGUUCGAACCUGGGUCGACUCC